AAAAUAAAAAAUAAUUUAUACAAUGCACAGACAACCAUUAAUUUUAGCUUAACAUGAAGCAAAAUUCAGGAGUUUAAAUAUGCUUUUUGCCAAAAACUAAUAGGUUUCGUCGAGCCUGAAGAUUGGUGAGGCUUCCUUACAAUAUAGUGAUCGAAUUUUAGCACAAUAAACGCAGGUAACAGCCUUCAAAUUUAUUUCCAAGAGGCCUUCAAGCAGUUCAUUCUUGCAGCAGGAAAUCGCUAUAAUUGGAGUCGGAUCAGAUUAUGAUAUGAACAGGUUAAUUAAUUUUCAAAACCACUAUCUCAAACCAUAUUUGACAAAUUGCACAGAAGCAAAUGAGUUUUUCCCCCUUCUACAAAAAUUAAGCAGCAUAAAACAACAAAUGUAAAACAUAGCAAAACUUUACCAAUGAAAUGCAUAGCAUUCACAGUUUUAUUUAUCUUAUUCAACAACCCUUUUGCAGUUAGAAAUUCAUGCUUUUUACCAUCUGUCAUUAAUCUCUGGCAUUGAAAUUUCUUUAUGCACCUUCAUUUCCUGUACUUUUAGCCUUGCAAUUUUGCGUCCAGUCACUUUUUCCCAGGUUUUCUGGCUGUUCUUGAUAAUUUUCAAUGCCAAUGAUUUUAGUGGAGCUCCAAUAUCCACAAGUGUAGGAUGCUUUGUACACGCUCACCCUUUGUGAUAUCUAGAGGCAAAAGGGUAUCUUCCGACUCGUGCCAGUCAAGAUCUUUGAAAUCACAAUCUUCAUAGACCACUUUACCAGUUUCUUUGUCAAACUGAGUCACAGUACCAGUAAGUAUUGGUCACCAAACAGCAUUUUUUUUUUUUUAAAUUCCUUCCAACCAUUCACCAAAAA
rnacentral:misc_RNA from 1 species